CUCCUCACAGAGCUACAAUUCACAGAGUUAAACCACCAAAGUGGUUUAACUCUGUGAAUUGUAGCUCUGUGAGGGG